AUUGAACGCUGGCGGUAUGCUUAACACAUGCAAGUCGAACGGCAGCACAGUACGUAGCAAUACGUAUGGGUGGCGAGUGGCGGACGGGUGAGUAACGCGUAGGAAUCUGCCUUGAAGCGGGGGACAACCCGAGGAAACUCGGGCUAAUACCGCAUAAUCUCGAGAGAGAAAAGCUGGGUGGUAACACCUGGCACUUCAAGCGGAGCCUGCGUGUGAUUAGCUAGUUGGUGGGGUAAAGGCCCACCAAGGCGAUGAUCGGUAACUGGUCUGAGAGGAUGACCAGUCACACUGGGACUGAGACACGGCCCAGACUCCUACGGGAGGCAGCAGUGGGGAAUAUUGGACAAUGGGGGCAACCCUGAUCCAGCAAUACCGCGUGUGUGAAGAAGGCCUUCGGGUUGUAAAGCACUUUAGUUGGGGAGGAAGGUGUGUAUUUUAAGAGAUAACACAUUUGACUGUACCCAAAGAAUAAGCACCGGCUAACUCUGUGCCAGCCGCCGCGGUAACAC
rnacentral:rRNA from 1 species